AGUGAACGCUGGCGGUAGGCCUAACACAUGCAAGUCGAACGGCAGCACAGUAAGAGCUUGCUCUUACGGGUGGCGAGUGGCGGACGGGUGAGGAAUACAUCGGAAUCUACUUUUUCGUGGGGGCUAACGUAGGGAAACUUACGCUAAUACCGCAUACGACCUACGGGUGAAAGCAGGGGAUCUUCGGACCUUGCGCGAUUGAAUGAGCCGAUGUCGGAUUAGCUAGUUGGCGGGGUAAAGGCCCACCAAGGCGACGAUCCGUAGCUGGUCUGAGAGGAUGAUCAGCCACACUGGAACUGAGACACGGUCCAGACUCCUACGGGAGGCAGCAGUGGGGAAUAUUGGACAAAGGGCGCAAGCCUGAUCCAGCCAUACCGCGUGGGUGAAGAAGGCCUUCGGGUUGUAAAGCCCUUUUGUUGGGAAAGAAAAGCAGCAGGUUAAUACCCCGCUGUUCUGACGGUACCCAAAGAAUAAGCACCGGCUAACUUCGUG
rnacentral:rRNA from 1 species